CAAGACCUUGCGCUUUUGGAGCGGCCGAUGUCUGAUCAGCUAGUUGGUGAGGUAAAGGCUUACCAAGGCGUCGAUCAGUAGCUGGUCUGAGAGGACGACCAGCCACACUGGGACUGAGACACGGCCCAGACUCCUACGGGAGGCAGCAGUGGGGAAUUUUGGACAAUGGGGGAAACCCUGAUCCAGCCAUGCCGCGUGAGUGAAGAAGGCCUUCGGGUUGUAAAGCUCUUUCAGCCGGAACGAAACGGUCACGGUUAAUACCCGUGACUACUGACGGUACCGGAAGAAGAAGCACCGGCUAACUACGUGCCAGCAGCCGCGGUAAUACGUAGGGUGCGAGCGUUAAUCGGAAUUACUGGGCGUAAAGCGUGCGCAGGCGGUUUUGUAAGUCAGAUGUGAAAUCCCCGGGCUUAACCUGGGAACU
rnacentral:rRNA from 1 species